CCCUUAGAUGUCCGGGGCCGCACGCGCGCUACAUUGACAGUAACAAAAAGUAUUUCUACCUUGUCCGAAAGGACUGGGAAAUCUUUGAAUUAUUGUCUCCACAGGGAUUGGGGUUUGUAAUUAUCCCCCAUGAACGAGGAAUUCCUAGUAAUCGCAGGUCAUUAGCCUGAGAUGAUUACGUCCCUGCCCUUUGUACACACCGCCCGUCGCUACUACCGGUCGAAUGGAUUAGUGAGGACCUCGGAUUGCAGUUUUACGGCGCAAGUCGUUUAAUUUGUGAAAAGUGGUUCAAACUUGUUCAUUUAGAGGAAGUAAAAGUCGUANCA
rnacentral:rRNA from 1 species